CCUACGGCGGGCUGCAGUGGGGAAUAUUGGACAAUGGGCGAAAGCCUGAUCCAGCCAUGCCGCGUGUGUGAAGAAGGCCUUCGGGUUGUAAAGCACUUUCAGUGGGGAAGAAAGCCUUGGGGCUAAUACCCUCGAGGAAGGACAUCACCCACAGAAGAAGCACCGGCUAACUCCGUGCCAGCAGCCGCGGUAAUACGGAGGGUGCGAGCGUUAAUCGGAAUUACUGGGCGUAAAGCGCGCGUAGGCGGUCUGAUAAGCCGGUUGUGAAAGCCCCGGGCUCAACCUGGGAACGGCAUCCGGAACUGUCAGGCUAGAGUGCAGGAGAGGAAGGUAGAAUUCCCGGUGUAGCGGUGAAAUGCGUAGAGAUCGGGAGGAAUACCAGUGGCGAAGGCGGCCUUCUGGACUGACACUGACGCUGAGGUGCGAAAGCGUGGGUAGCAAACAGGAUUAGAUACCCCAGUAGUC
rnacentral:rRNA from 1 species